UACGUAGGUGGCAAGCGUUAUCCGGAAUUAUUGGGCGUAAAGCGCGCGCAGGUGGUUCUUUAAGUCUGACGUGAAAUCCCCGGGCUCAACCUGGGAAUUGCGUUGGAGACUGCAAGGCUAGAAUCUGGCAGAGGGGGGUAGAAUUCCACGUGUAGCAGUGAAAUGCGUAGAGAUGUGGAGGAACACCGAUGGCGAAGGCAGCCCCCUGGGUCAAGAUUGACGCUCAUGCACGAAAGCGUGGGGAGCAAACAGG
rnacentral:rRNA from 1 species